rnacentral:lncRNA from 1 species
AGGACUAUAUAUAUAUCGCUCUCUAACAAAGUGUUGCGAUGCGUAACCUUCCAACGCUAAAAGGUUUUCUUUUUCGCUGGCCAACUAAACAAUAUGUAACUUCCCAAAGCAAAAGCUGCAAAAGACGUAUGAAUGAGGAGAAAAGGAUCACCUAAUGAAAGACAAAAACUUCACGAAUUGAAACAAAACAUUACCCCAACAUACGUCUGUCACACACCUUCCAUGUGAUUCAACUCUUCUUUGCUCUAAUUACUAAUUAUAUAUGCAAAGACAAGUCCCAGAAAUAACAGAGAAAAUGGGAGGAACAGCAGAGAAGACUCGGAGAUUAAAGAAGCUACUGAGGUGUUGUGCAAGAAAGCUGAAGACUCUGUUAGUAACAUCCUUCAGGAGAAGCUGUGGUCCAGCAGUUUUAUUUUCAACUCCUCGUGCUGUUCGUUGUGAGGAGCUCUUCUUGUCCUCAGAAGAGCAGAAUACAAGGACUGCUUACUAUGAUGAUGAUGAUCAUUAUAUUAUAGCAGCUCAUAUUGCAGCCCAGAACCAUUUCAGUUUUAGGCCAAACAUUUACCUUUGAGGGAGACAAAGAAACACUCUUGGUUCUUCUUUCAGUGUUUCAUUUUGUAAUAUCUUGAAUUUUAAUUUUAAUUGAAUAUUAUUAUUCUUUUAAGAGUAUUUUAGUAAUUUAAUAUUUUCGGACUACUAAACAUUUUGAGACAUAUUUAGACGUGAUAAAUUUGUUUAUCAUGGAUGUUAUUUUUCUUAAAGUAUUUUAUUUUGUUGUAUUGAAUUUUAUUUUAUUUUUACUUUAAAUUUCAUUUUGAUAUGAAUUAAUUUAAUUUAUAAAUAUAUUGUUUUAUAACUAUUUUGAAGUUAAAAUAUAUUAUUAGUGAUUUAAGUAUUGGAAGUUAAUAAUUUAUUGUUUAAUUAGAUACAAAAUUAUGAAUUACUAUUUUAACCCCCAAUUAAUAAAUUAUAUGCAUAUAUAUAUAAGAAAUAAGAUUAUUAUAUCCUCAUUUUCUUUUACGUAAUGACAAAACUGAAAUUUAAAAAGAAUAAUUUCAACUUGGUAAAAGUAAUUAUACAUAUCGACUUCUGAGAUUGUGGGUUUUCCUUUGGUGUGCUCGGAUCAAAUUUUCAUGACCGUCAAAAAUGUUUUGGCGAUCGAGCCCGGUGACCUCGGGACAUGUGUCGACGGGCGAAGUUUUGAUUUUU